GAAGAGACAGAAAAAGUUGAGUGCUUUUUACAUGAGUGUUCACCAGCUGUGUGCCAAGUCAAGCUAGAGCCACCCCUGCUGAGACAGGAGAAAUUGCUGUGACAGCUCCCAGAGCCCCCCAGGCUGGCCCCAAAGGCUCACCAGCCUCACCUGGGCUCUGGGAGGAUGAACAUGGACACACAGAGAUCUCCCUCUAUUUCAGUGUCCUUGAAUGAUCUGGAAGCAGUUCUGGCACACAGCCAGCAAGGGGAGUCUGUCAGCACCUUCCCUUCAAAGGCAUUUAAAUCAGUUGAUAGCACGGAGUCAAGGAAGACUCUUGACAGGGAUUUGAAAGAUGCAUCCGUAACAUCUGAGUUCUGCUUGCCAACAAGCACAAAGGUGCCUGCCUCACUCAGAGAAGCCUCUGAAGGAGCACCAACGUUCAAAGCAGCUCUCCAGCACGUGGCACUGGCACCCCACAAAGAGGUAAAGGACAACUAAGUUCAAACAAAUUUUAGGAACCCCUCAUGGUUGUUUUUCAUCCUUCCAGACAUAAAGAAUGUACAAGCUGCAGAUUCACCCCCUUCCCUACUUAGAAAGUCCCCCAGGGGAUUUAGAAGGAGCCUCCAUGGGUCAUACCAAAGAGGUCAAGGUCUCCUCUAGCACCAACUAGGGUCAGUGUCUUCCUGCCAGGUGACAACAGCUCAUGCUCCAACAGUUAAAAUGAGCAGCUUUAGACAGGGCAGAAUCAGAGUGCAUUCCCCGUCUGCUACAGAAAAACCCGAAAUCAGUUUGCAGAGUCAUCUCCCACGACAAAUGACAUUAUUAAAGUGUUUGCUCAGUGCCUGGCAAACACAAACACGGAUCUGCCACUUGGCUGGAAACCCAGUGCCCUCUGCAUCAGAAACCCAGCCAAAAGGAAAACUACCUGCCACACACAUUCCUGAAAUGCAUGGGAGGAAAACCGUGGAUAAUUAUAAUAGGUUUCCAAUUAAAACUCUCUUUGGGGUUGCUAUUAACUGAACACAGAAGCGCCUCCUCCUCCUCCCACUUCUUUCCCUGUUCUGCUUCACCUCCUCUUCUCCACAGGAACUUCCGCUACAUCUUUCAUGUUGCAAUUUUCUCAAAUCUCUCUCAUUUUUCCCCAGCCUUGGCUCAUGCUUAUUGCUGGCAUCAUCUUUGCUCUCUGCCUGCUCCUGUUCUUACCAACACAGCUCACUCAGACUCUCUUUGUCCCCUCAAUCCCCCGUUCCCAAUGGGAGGUGUCCCCACCAUUCCCUUGCACACAGUGGUGAUGGUCUGGGGUCCUGGCACACAGCAGACUGCUGAAAUAACAACACAGGUGAUUUGUGAAAAUCAAGUUCAAGACCAUCCUUCUAGGAAAGAAGUUAUUUUCACUGCUGUUAGAUGCAGAGCCUGGAUCCAGCCAGAGAAAAGGUACUUUUCAGGACCACCAGCAAACACAUCAUUCUGAUGCUCUUACCUCAGGCAUACGAUAUCAGAAUAAAAAACAUCAGCCUUCACACACACCCCCUGUAAACUCAAAUUUUGCCUUGCUUCUGCAGUAGCUGCCAUUAGUGAAUACCAAAGCUGCAAGAUGCCUUCUGUACACAAAGCCAUGAGUCCCUUCCCACGUCACUGCUUCCCUGAGCCUGCCUGUGUAUGCGAACGUUUCCUGAAUUAUUUCCUUUUUUGUGGGGGCAGCAAAGAAGAAUACAAUCCCUUCUCAUUUGCUUCCCCAAAUUGUACAGGAAGAUUGAUCAUUUUGGUUUCCCUGACGUCCCUGGUCUAAAAAACAAAGUUCGACAGCAACACAGCUUGAGCAAUUUUCCCCAUGCUGCAGCUGGGAAUGUCCCUGCUGGGUGACAGGCACUGGGCGAUCCCGGCUGGCUCACAACUGCUACAGGCACCAAAACCUCCAACAAACAACUGCCUGACUUCACUUUUAUUCUGCAAAUGUCAACAGCAGUCAUCAGGGAAAAUAUCCUCCUUCCCACCCUCCUGCAAUGCUCUGGCAGACACGCGACAGCACAUUAAAACUGGAUGACUGAAAUUAGCACUGAUGAGACCUAUGCGGGCAGCCGGGCACAAACACAACCACCCCGAUUUUGCCUGCUAUAAAACAGAGGGCUGGAACCUGGGUCUGUUCACACACGUGAUCAGAAGCAGGUCAGAUGUCCUUGACCUGGGCAGCAGCAUCCUGCAGGUCCUCACCAGUGCUGCUUAAAGCCACCCAGUUGAGUUCCCUGACUCAGGACCACAGAGCUCCCGGCCUCAAGAGCACAGGUGCCGCCCUGCAAGAUGCCAAAGGCCGGGUCUUUGAAAGCUGAACUGUAAAUCCACACCCACAGUUAACUGUUCAAAUCUGUGGCUUCGCUUUCCAACACAAGCAGGACUCAAAAACGCAUCAGUUUUUUAGAGUCUAGUUUGGGAUACACACAUUAUGGAGAUCUUGGCCAAAGUUUUUACCUAGGGAAAUAAUGUGGUUUAUGGCAGCACUUGGAAAAAGCAGAAGUUUGUUCUGCUCAUUAGGUAAGAAGUGCUUCAGGGCACAUGUAAUAAAACAGAAUUUAAAUUUAAUCUAAAUUUCACUUUUCCAAUUACCCUAAGUAAUACAUCAUUGAUGAUUUUUAGGUUUUUUCCUCACCAAGCUGGAGAAAUAGGGCAGUGUAAUUCUGCUGCCUGGCUUCAGUUAGAUGUAGUUAUUUUAUGUACAGAUUUUCAAGCUCAUGAAAGAAGCACGGUACAUUCUGACAACUUCAUUCUUCCCUGAGUGAGUUUGUGACCAAGCCUUUCAAACACAUGAAGUUAAUUCUGAGCCUGGAGGUUCACCACCAGCUGAGAGCUGGCCCCAUAUGAGAGUCACCGAGCUGAGGAGCCCCUUUCUGCUCAGUGGUGCAGAGCCCAGCAGGAGACACAGCUAAUACUGGCCCAAGAGCUGCUUUCACAGCUCUGCUGGAAUUCAGGGGAGGCUCCAAGCCCCCAGAGUUUGUGUGCUGGACUGGGAUGGAGUUUAAGCACUGCUAAUCCACAGAAAAAAAGCAGCAAACCAAGUCUUCUCCCAGAUACCAGAGUUCAUCCAUAUUCUCCUGCUCUCAGUGAAGCGUCACAGCACACACUCACAGACCUGUCAAACAUGACACCUACACUAUCAACCAUGGAACAGUGAUUCAGCACCACAGUGGCAAUUACAAAGCUUAGUAACAAUCACCUCUUCACACAGGCACUUUUUCACCAUUGCUAAAUUAACAUCAAAAAUAUCUGGGUCAGAAUGGACAAGUUCACCCCAUCUCACCUGGCCACCCAUUCCAAAGAGAAUGGCCAGUAAAAAUAGAACAGGACUGGCUAAUAAUUUUUCCAAUGUCCAUAAAUUAUGGUAAAAACUCAAAACAAACCAAAGAAAAUUAGAAAUGAAAGCUGGAGAGGAGAGGGGUCCCUGAGGACAGCAGUGCUCAGCCAAACCUGGGCUGCCAACAAGAACAGCUCCAUGGAGCAGAGCCAAGUGGUUGCCAAUCGACUGCACCUACACACUUGGCCUCCCAGUGACUGCUGGUUCUCAAGAGCAAUGCAGGAACAGAAAUAGAGCACAAGGGAACUGAAAGAGAAACCUCGCUCUAAAUAUUCCCUCUUGUUUCUAUUUUCCUCCCCUUGCUAGCUCCACACCAGGAAUUUUGUUUCCCUAAGGCAGAGAAAGUGGUUUAUAAACACUCUCUGAGGCUCACUGCUAGUUUCUUUCUGACAGGAUCUCUUAUCCCUUCACAAUUCUAAUUUUCUAUUAUGUUAUCACUUGAUCAGUGUUUAUAUUGCACUCCCUGAUGCCCUGGCCCAAAAGGCCUUCAGACUCUUGUCAGGUCAGCAGUGCUGCCCACUUCAUCAUCUGUCUGCUCCUUUGUGUCACACAUACACACCCACAAAGUGAUGAUGGUCCAGUGUAAGUAAUUCCAUAACUCAGCCUGUUUGCACCAAAAUGUACUGUUUACUUGACUUUGAGACAUAAUGUUGGAUUCUGAAAGGUUUGCCUCUUAAUGAAUGAGGUUAUGGAGAUGUUUGUUCAGCACAUGCCACUCUUCAUUAUGACAUACAAGUCAUUAAAGUUAUUAAAGGUGGAGUCACAGUGAUGCUCAUAGUUCAGGUUUUCCAUGAAGAAUCCCUACUUUCAAUUACUUGCAACUGCAACAAACUUCAGCCCUUACAGCUGGAGCUUUCAGUGCCAGGCAGCUGGGCAAGAGCAGCCUCUCCUCUGCCCUUGGAGUCAGGAAACGUGGUCCCAGUGUUUCUCCUGCCUGCUUUGCCUGUGCAAGAGGCUGUUUGUGUUCAAGUACUCAAACCAGGAGGGAAGGAGCCCCACAACGGGCCACAGGACCCCCACACAGUCUGCAAAGAAGCCCUUCCCACUUGGCUCCAUGUAGAUCCCUGCAAGAAUCAGGGUAGCAGGGGAAGCCUCAGCUCUUCCCCUGCCAGGAUGGGUACACAGCUCUCUGCCUAAUUCCAGACAGAGACAAUUUUACAGGUACAUAUGUCCGGUGUUAUUUUGCCAGAAUAAUGAUGAAUGGCAGAUCUGUAAGUCAGUUCACCUGGCUCCCAGCUCACACAAAGAGCCACUGUAACUUCAGCAACAUGGUUCUCAUUCCAUUUGGGAAACUCUCUACAAAAACUGAGAAGAAAACAAACAACUCUGUGCAAAGCUGUAACAUUACUUUAACACGUUUACUGUAGUUCUAAACAACCUAACAUGUUGUGGUAUAUCACAGCAGUGUUUACAUGGAAUGUCCUGCCCCUUGAAACCAAGUGCUUGCAUUAGACCACUCUGUGAGAAAAGUUUGGCUAAGCCCAGUGAUGCAUUUAUCUAUUUAAAGACGCUUUUUAAUUCUGAACUUGCACUGCUGCUCAAGCUUUGAGCAGACUCAGCAGGGGAUUACUGCAUUUUAAGCACUGUUCAAAGCCAAUGGAAGAAAGGCUUCCAAGGAGCUGAUCCCAAGCAAUCUAGCUUGAUUGAACCAAAACCAGCUGUGCAGAACUGCCAGCACCCAGUAGUCCUCUUCUGCUCUCCCAGGAUUUGCUGGUGCUUCUGUAAAUGAUUCUCUCUGCACUUCAUACCAGGCACAGUUUAUACCCCUCAAAUUCCAGUUUUAGUCACCGUAGAUGAAUUACCCAGUUCCAAACAAGACAAGGAAGCAACAUUAAAAAAAAAAAAAGAAAAAUCAUCACUAAUUAUAGCCUGUGCUGCCACCCUUCAUGUCUAAGGGUUUCACAUUUUUUCAGCCUGAUUUUGAAUUUCCCAUCAACAGAUCAUAUGCCUUAACUAGAGCUGGUUCAGAACAGAUGGAGUUUGAACAGAUGAGUUGAAGCUUUUCCUAUGUUUGCAUUUAUUUUAGUGGUCAGUCGUCUCACUGGGUCACCUCGAUAUAGCUGACCCUAACUAUUCCCCCCGCAUACCUUAAAGCAAAACAGAUCCCGCAGCUUAUGUCAGGAGGAUUAUACAUGAGUGCAUUCCAAGGAGCAGCAGUUUAUAGCUCACACGACAUUUCACUGCUGCCCUUGCAGAGGUGGAUGAGCACCAGGAGCUGUUUGGGCAGGAGACAUCCCCAGUGGGCAGCACGACCUGUGCAGAGCCAGCCUGACACAGUGGAGCACGCAGAGACCGGGAUUAGCAGCGCUGGACAUCAGCCAAACCUCGUCUUAUGUAGGCCCCAACAAGGGUAACUUUUACUCAGAUGAACAUUUGUAAGCCAUAAACCUAUUUACUCUAAGGAGCUAAAGGAUUUGAACAAAGAAUUGCACGCCGCUGGCUUCCUCAAAGCUCGGCAGGGCGGGCCUGAUGGAGCCCCACCGAGGGGUUUGGGCUGCACUUCAGGCCAUGUUUACAUUGAGCUUUCACUUUUUUGGGGGGCAUCUCUCAAUAGCUCCAGCAUAUUACAUUACCUCAAGCCAAGAUAGUAACACAGCUUGCAAACAGCAGUUUCUGCAUUGCCAGACACUUAACUAGAUGGUAGAUUUAUACCAUUGUUCGUGUUGGGUUCUUUAAAAAAAGACAUCAGGAAUAUACCUCUAAGUGUGUAUUAAAUAUAGCACAACCCCAAAAAAGAAAAUAGUACUGUGGUCUGCUUUUAAUGAGCAUCACAAAUUCUUUUUGAAGGCUCAGUUGACAUAAAUGGAAUUUAAAAAAAAAA